GAUGAAGAACGCAGCGAAAUGCGAUACGUAAUGUGAAUUGCAGAAUUCAGUGAAUCAUCGAAUCUUUGAACGCAUAUUGCGCUCUCCGGUAUUCCGGAGAGCAUGCUUGUUUGAGUAUCAGUAAACACCUCAACUUCCAUAUCUUUUUUGAAAUGGGAGUUGGACUUGAGUGAUCCCAACGCUUUUCCUCACCGAAAAGUGGCGGGUUACUUGAAAUGCAGGUGCAGCUGGACUUUUCUCUGAGCUAUAAGCAUAUCUAUUUAGUCUGCCUAAAAAACAGAUUAUUACCUUUGCUGCAGCUAACAUAAAGGAGAUUAGUUCUUGUGCUGACUGAUGCAGGAUUCACAAAGACGGCUUCGGCCGACUUUGUAAACUCGAUCUCAAAUCAAGUAAGACUACCCGCUGAACUUAAGCAUAUCAAUAAGCGGAGGA
rnacentral:misc_RNA from 1 species